rnacentral:rRNA from 1 species
GAUGAACGCUGGCGGUAUGCUUAACACAUGCAAGUCGAACGAACUCUUCGGAGUUAGUGGCGGCCGGGUGAGUAACGCGUGAGAAUAUGGCUUUGGGUUCGGGACAACCACUGGAAACGGUGGCUAAUACCGGAUGUGCCGAGAGGUAAAAGAGAAAUUGCCUGAAGAUGAGCUCGCGUCUGAUUAGCUAGUUGGUGAGGUAAAGGCUCACCAAGGCAGCGAUCAGUAGCUGGUCUGAGAGGAUGACCAGCCACACUGGGACUGAGACACCGCCCAGACUCAUAGGGGAGGCAGCGGUGAAGAAUGAACCAGGAUGGGCGAAAGCGUGACGGAGCACUACCGCGUGGGGGAAGAAGUCUCUGGGGUUGAAAACCUCUGUUCGUAGGGAAGCACAAAAUGACGGUACCUAAGGAAUCAGCAUCGGCUAACUCCGUG